UUCAAACUGGUUCGAAUCGAACCACCCACGGUUCGGUUCGAAUUCGAACCUGCAGCUCGAUCCUGAUGGCUGGUUCGGUUCAAAUUCGAACCUUCAAACCACCCUGGUUCAAAUUUGAACCAGUUCGUACAUCCCUAAUAGUGUUGUUGUGAGAAGAAACCGAAGUAUGUAGUACAUUGCUUUGGGCCCCUUGGAGGAAUAGCGGGAUAUAAAAUGUAAAAAAACAUAAAUAAAUAAAUAAAUAAAUAAAUAAAGUAAGUGGCAGAAAAAUCCUAGUUGCAGUUCUUAGGGGUGUCAGUGACUUGGAUAGUGCAGCUCAUCUGGGAGGGGAUCCAGACUCAGUCCCAAGAUCAGAAAGGGAUUUCCAGUUGUAGCAAGGGAUAUAGCCCUACUCCUUUGCCAUGUUGACCCUCAAGGGAACAGAGCUCAAGCGAGAUCUUCAUUCUCAAACAACAGGAACUUUGGCAAAACUGAGGAAGAGCUAGAAAUGCCAAGUCCCAUUCUGGUCCAUAGGAGAGGUUGCUCACAACUGUCAGGACACGCAGGUUCUAAGAUCCCAGAUCUCUAUGUAAAGAGGAGGAGGCCAGAAAAAGCAUAACCUAGUACAAGGCAUUCAGGGGCUGACUCAGGAAGAGGAUCCUACAAGAGCCUAGCAAAAAAAUUUUCACAGUCAAAAUCGCCACAACACUGUCAGUGUACACAGUGCAAUUUACAGAAAAGUACAACGGUAAUUACAAGAGAGAAGUGACGCCACAGGUUAACACUGAGAAAUACAUGGAGUUAUAGAUGACUGAAAUCAAAAGUUUAUUAAUUGCUUUCCUCUUCUUCGGAUCAAUUUGAUCCCACUAUUCAGUCGUUACCAGAGAUUAUGCUCUUGGAAGGGAAACUUCUGUAUUAGCAGUCAUGUGAAAACAAGUCACCAUUACGUCACUAUACCAUUCUUUGAGUAAGAAUAUCCUGUCAUAUCAUGUGAGCUGCCUCUCAGACACAGAUACAUACACGUACACACACUUCCUGUUUUGUCAACUUUUGAACUUUUGAUAAUCAAUCAUUAAAAAUCAUGAUACA